rnacentral:rRNA from 1 species
GGUCAAGUGAAGAAGCGCAUACGGUGGAUGCCUUGGCAGUCAGAGGCGAUGAAAGACGUGGUAGCCUGCGAAAAGCUUCGGGGAGUCGGCAAACAGACUGUGAUCCGGAGAUAUCUGAAUGGGGGAACCCAGCCAUCAUAAGAUGGUUAUCUUGUACUGAAUACAUAGGUGCAAGAGGCGAACCAGGGGAACUGAAACAUCUAAGUACCCUGAGGAAAAGAAAUCAACCGAGAUUCCCUUAGUAGUGGCGAGCGAACGGGGACCAGCCCUUAAGUUGUAUUGAGAUUAGCGGAACGUUCUGGAAAGGACGGCCAUAGUGGGUGAUAGCCCUGUACGCGAAAAUCCUUUUGCAAUGAAAUCGAGUAGGACGGGGCACGAGAAACCUUGUCUGAAUAUGGGGGGACCAUCCUCCAAGGCUAAAUACUACUGACUGACCGAUAGUGAACCAGUACCGUGAGGGAAAGGCGAAAAGAACCGCGGAGAGCGGAGUGAAAUAGAUCCUGAAACCGUAUGCGUACAAGCAGUGGGAGCCCACUUUGUUGGGUGACUGCGUACCUUUUGUAUAAUGGGUCAGCGACUUAUUUUCAGUGGCGAGCUUAACCGAAUAGGGGAGGCGUAGCGAAAGCGAGUCUUAAUAGGGCGUCUAGUCGCUGGGAAUAGACCCGAAACCGGGCGAUCUAUCCAUGGGCAGGUUGAAGGUUGGGUAACACUAACUGGAGGACCGAACCGACUACCGUUGAAAAGUUAGCGGAUGACCUGUGGAUCGGAGUGAAAGGCUAAUCAAGCUCGGAGAUAGCUGGUUCUCCUCGAAAGCUAUUUAGGUAGCGCCUCAUGUAUCACUGUAGGGGGUAGAGCACUGUUUCGGCUAGGGGGUCAUCCCGACUUACCAAACCGAUGCAAACUCCGAAUACCUACAAGUGCCGAGCAUGGGAGACACACGGCGGGUGCUAACGUCCGUCGUGAAAAGGGAAACAACCCAGACCGUCAGCUAAGGUCCCAAAGUCAUGGUUAAGUGGGAAACGAUGUGGGAAGGCUUAGACAGCUAGGAGGUUGGCUUAGAAGCAGCCACCCUUUAAAGAAAGCGUAAUAGCUCACUAGUCGAGUCGGCCUGCGCGGAAGAUGUAACGGGGCUCAAACCAUGCACCGAAGCUACGGGUAUCAUCUUUUGAUGAUGCGGUAGAGGAGCGUUCUGUAAGCCUGUGAAGGUGAGUUGAGAAGCUUGCUGGAGGUAUCAGAAGUGCGAAUGCUGACAUGAGUAACGACAAUGGGUGUGAAAAACACCCACGCCGAAAGACCAAGGUUUCCUGCGCAACGUUAAUCGACGCAGGGUUAGUCGGUCCCUAAGGCGAGGCUGAAAAGCGUAGUCGAUGGAAAACAGGUUAAUAUUCCUGUACUUCUGGUUAUUGCGAUGGAGGGACGGAGAAGGCUAGGCCAGCCUGGCGUUGGUUGUCCAGGUUUAAGGUGGUAGGCUGAGAUCUUAGGUAAAUCCGGGAUCUUAAGGCCGAGAGCUGAUGACGAGUGUUCUUUUAGAACACGAAGUGGUUGAUGCCAUGCUUCCAAGAAAAGCUUCUAAGCUUCAGGUAACCAGGAACCGUACCCCAAACCGACACAGGUGGUUGGGUAGAGAAUACCAAGGCGCUUGAGAGAACUCGGGUGAAGGAACUAGGCAAAAUGGCACCGUAACUUCGGGAGAAGGUGCGCCGGUGGAGGUGAAGCAUUUACUGCGUAAGCCCCUGCCGGUCGAAGAUACCAGGCCGCUGCGACUGUUUAUUAAAAACACAGCACUCUGCAAACACGAAAGUGGACGUAUAGGGUGUGACGCCUGCCCGGUGCCGGAAGGUUAAUUGAUGGGGUUAGCGCAAGCGAAGCUCUUGAUCGAAGCCCCGGUAAACGGCGGCCGUAACUAUAACGGUCCUAAGGUAGCGAAAUUCCUUGUCGGGUAAGUUCCGACCUGCACGAAUGGCGUAACGAUGGCGGCGCUGUCUCCACCCGAGACUCAGUGAAAUUGAAAUCGCUGUGAAGAUGCAGUGUAUCCGCGGCUAGACGGAAAGACCCCGUGAACCUUUACUAUAGCUUUGCACUGGACUUUGAAUUUGCUUGUGUAGGAUAGGUGGGAGGCUUUGAAGCGUGGACGCCAGUCUGCGUGGAGCCAACCUUGAAAUACCACCCUGGCAACUUUGAGGUUCUAACUCAGGUCCGUUAUCCGGAUCGAGGACAGUGUAUGGUGGGUAGUUUGACUGGGGCGGUCUCCUCCUAAAGAGUAACGGAGGAGUACGAAGGUGCGCUCAGACCGGUCGGAAAUCGGUCGUAGAGUAUAAAGGCAAAAGCGCGCUUGACUGCGAGACAGACACGUCGAGCAGGUACGAAAGUAGGUCUUAGUGAUCCGGUGGUUCUGUAUGGAAGGGCCAUCGCUCAACGGAUAAAAGGUACUCCGGGGAUAACAGGCUGAUACCGCCCAAGAGUUCAUAUCGACGGCGGUGUUUGGCACCUCGAUGUCGGCUCAUCACAUCCUGGGGCUGAAGCCGGUCCCAAGGGUAUGGCUGUUCGCCAUUUAAAGUGGUACGCGAGCUGGGUUUAGAACGUCGUGAGACAGUUCGGUCCCUAUCUGCCGUGGACGUUUGAGAUUUGAGAGGGGCUGCUCCUAGUACGAGAGGACCGGAGUGGACGAACCUCUGGUGUUCCGGUUGUCACGCCAGUGGCAUUGCCGGGUAGCUAUGUUCGGAAAAGAUAACCGCUGAAAGCAUCUAAGCGGGAAACUUGCCUCAAGAUGAGAUCUCACUGGAACCUUGAGUUCCCUAAAGGGCCGUCGAAGACUACGACGUUGAUAGGUUGGGUGUGUAAGCGCUGUGAGGCGUUGAGCUAACCAAUACUAAUUGCCCGUGAGGCUUGACCAUAUAACACCCA